UCAAUAAAUAUUUGUAGAAUG
rnacentral:piRNA from 2 species